rnacentral:misc_RNA from 1 species
AAGUCGUAACAAGGUUUCCGUAGGUGAACCUGCGGAGGGAUCAUUCACAUGAUCAUAAUCUUAAACAAUUCUGUGAACUUUUUUUUUAACUAUUCUUUUUUUUCUAUUGUAACAAAUAGAAAAAAAUUACAUUCGAUCGUACAUUAGAUAGCUGGUUUUACUUUUAAUCGAGUAAUUUCUACAGCUGAUUGAAAUAUAUCUAAACAAUAUAUUUGAAUCAAGACAAACAAACAUAGAAUUUAACAACUCUAUGCCCUGGAUAUCUUGGUUCUC